ACAUGCCUACAACAUAAUGUUAAUGCACCAGAUCCCAUUAGAACUCCAUAGUUAAGCGCGCUCAGGCUAGAGUAGUAGUGGGAUGGGUGAUCACCCGGGAAGUCCUAAUGUUUUACAUGCC
rnacentral:rRNA from 1 species